rnacentral:rRNA from 1 species
AGACCCGAAACCCGGUGAUCUAGCCAUGGGCAGGUUGAAGGUUGGGUAACACUAACUGGAGGACCGAACCGACUAAUGUUGAAAAAUUAGCGGAUGACCUGUGGCUGGGGGUGAAAGGCCAAUCAAACCGGGAGAUAGCUGGUUCUCCCCGAAAGCUAUUUAGGUAGCGCCUCGUGAAUUCAUCUCCGGGGGUAGAGCACUGUUUCGGCUAGGGGGCCAUCCCGGCUUACCAACCCGAUGCAAACUGCGAAUACCGGAGAAUGUUAUCACGGGAGACACACGGCGGGUGCUAACGUCCGUCGUGAAGAGGGAAACAACCCAGACCGCCAGCUAAGGUCCCAAAGUCAUGGUUAAGUGGGAAACGAUGUGGGAAGGCCCAGACAGCCAGGAUGUUGGCUUAGAAGCAGCCAUCAUUUAAAGAAAGCGUAAUAGCUCACUGGUCGAGUCGGCCUGCGCGGAAGAUGUAACGGGGCUAAACCAUGCACCGAAGCUGCGGCAGCGACGCUUAUGCGUUGUUGGGUAGGGGAGCGUUCUGUAAGCCUGUGAAGGUGUGUCGUGAGGCAUGCUGGAGGUAUCAGAAGUGCGAAUGCUGACAUAAGUAACGAUAAAGCGGGUGAAAAGCCCGCUCGCCGGAAGACCAAGGGUUCCUGUCCAACGUUAAUCGGGGCAGGGUGAGUCGACCCCUAAGGCGAGGCCGAAAGGCGUAGUCGAUGGGAAACGGGUUAAUAUUCCCGUACUUGGUGUUACUGCGAAGGGGGGACGGAGAAGGCUAUGUUGGCCGGGCGACGGUUGUCCCGGUUUAAGCGUGUAGGCUGGUUUUCCAGGCAAAUCCGGAAAAUCAAGGCUGAGGCGUGAUGACGAGGCACUACGGUGCUGAAGCAACAAAUGCCCUGCUUCCAGGAAAAGCCUCUAAGCAUCAGGUAACAUCAAAUCGUACCCCAAACCGACACAGGUGGUCAGGUAGAGAAUACCAAGGCGCUUGAGAGAACUCGGGUGAAGGAACUAGGCAAAAUGGUGCCGUAACUUCGGGAGAAGGCACGCUGACACGUAGGUGAAGUGAUUUACUCAUGGAGCUGAAGUCAGUCGAAGAUACCAGCUGGCUGCAACUGUUUAUUAAAAACACAGCACUGUGCAAACACGAAAGUGGACGUAUACGGUGUGACGCCUGCCCGGUGCCGGAAGGUUAAUUGAUGGGGUCAGCGCAAGCGAAGCUCCUGAUCGAAGCCCCGGUAAACGGCGGCCGUAACUAUAACGGUCCUAAGGUAGCGAAAUUCCUUGUCGGGUAAGUUCCGACCUGCACGAAUGGCGUAAUGAUGGCCAGGCUGUCUCCACCCGAGACUCAGUGAAAUUGAACUCGCUGUGAAGAUGCAGUGUACCCGCGGCAAGACGGAAAGACCCCGUGAACCUUUACUAUAGCUUGACACUGAACAUUGAGCCUUGAUGUGUAGGAUAGGUGGGAGGCUUUGAAGUGUGGACGCCAGUCUGCAUGGAGCCGACCUUGAAAUACCACCCUUUAAUGUUUGAUGUUCUAACGUGGACCCGUGAUCCGGGUUGCGGACAGUGUCUGGUGGGUAGUUUGACUGGGGCGGUCUCCUCCUAAAGAGUAACGGAGGAGCACGAAGGUUGGCUAAUCCUGGUCGGACAUCAGGAGGUUAGUGCAAUGGCAUAAGCCAGCUUGACUGCGAGCGUGACGGCGCGAGCAGGUGCGAAAGCAGGUCAUAGUGAUCCGGUGGUUCUGAAUGGAAGGGCCAUCGCUCAACGGAUAAAAGGUACUCCGGGGAUAACAGGCUGAUACCGCCCAAGAGUUCAUAUCGACGGCGGUGUUUGGCACCUCGAUGUCGGCUCAUCACAUCCUGGGGCUGAAGUAGGUCCCAAGGGUAUGGCUGUUCGCCAUUUAAAGUGGUACGCGAGCUGGGUUUAGAACGUCGUGAGACAGUUCGGUCCCUAUCUGCCGUGGGCGCUGGAGAACUGAGGGGGGCUGCUCCUAGUACGAGAGGACCGGAGUGGACGCAUCACUGGUGUUCGGGUUGUCAUGCCAAUGGCACUGCCCGGUAGCUAAAUGCGGAAGAGAUAAGUGCUGAAAGCAUCUAAGCACGAAACUUGCCCCGAGAUGAGUUCUCCCUGAGACUUAAAGUCUCCUGAAGGAACGUUGAAGACGACGACGUUGAUAGGCCGGGUGUGUAAGCGCAGCGAUGCGUUGAGCUAACCGGUACUAAUGAACCGUGAGGCUUAACCUU